CGGUACCUAACCAGAAAGCCACGGCUAACUUCGUGCCAGCAGCCGCGGUAAUACGUAGGUGGCAAGCGUUGUUCGGAAUUAUUGGGCGUAAAGCGCGCGCAGGCGGUUUUUUAAGUCUGAUGUGAAAGCCCCCGGCUCAACCGGGGAGGGUCAUUGGAAACUGGGGAACUUGAGUGCAGAAGAGGAGAGUGGAAUUCCACGUGUAGCGGUGAAAUGCGUAGAGAUCUGGAGGAACACCAGUGGCGAAGGCGACUCUCUGGUCUGUAACUGACGCUGAGGCGCGAAAGCGUGGGGAGCGAACAGGAUUAGAUACCCUGGUAGUCCACGCCGUAAACGAUGAGUGCUAAGUGUUAGAGGGUUUCCGCCCUUUAGUGUUGCAGCAAACGCAUUAAGCUCUCCGCCUGGGGAGUACGGUCGCAAGACUGAAACUCAAAGGAAUUGACGGGGGCCCGCACAAGCGGUGGAGCAUGUGGUUUAAUUCGAAGCAACGCGAAGAACCUUACCAGGUCUUGAC
rnacentral:rRNA from 1 species